rnacentral:snoRNA from 1 species
AAUCCAUGAUGUGGGCAUCUGUAUUAGCAUUUUAAAAUGCUCUCAAGCUUCGUGAAAACUCUCUCCUUCUAAUUAUUUGAAUGUUGGGAUCUCUCUCCUUAGUUG